AUUUUUAUUGUGGUAGCCCACGGUGGAGGUGGAAGCAGCGGUGGAGAAGGAGGAUGAGGUAGCCAACACUGUUUUUUAUAUAUAUAUAUAUUUUUUAAUUGGGGUAGCCCCAAAAAUAUUGGGCCAUAUAAAAAAAGACAACUCUGUUCUGCAGAGUAGCUGUUGACAUUAUAGUUGCGCAGGCACUUUGUUGACUCUAGAGAACCUCGGGCCAAUCGCACAUCCCCUUGGUGGCGACUUUGCAUGCGGAUGUCAUCCAUAUCAACUUUUGAUGCCAGUUUCUGCGCAUACCAUGGUGACCACGGGUAAUGGGGAAUCAGGGUUCCAUUCCGUACAGGGACCCUGAGAAAUGGCUAUCACAUGCAAGGAAGGCAGCAGGCUAGUGACGACAAAUAACAAUACACGACUCUUUAGAGGCCCUGUGAUUGUAAUGAGUCCACUUGAAAUCCUAUAACUCUGAUCAAUUGGAGGGAAGUCUGGUGCAAAGCCACUGACCCGUGUUUGUUGCAGCUGCUUGCACAGUCUCAUGAGU